rnacentral:rRNA from 1 species
AUUGAACGCUGGCGGCAGGCCUAACACAUGCAAGUCGAGCGGAUGAAGGGAGCUUGCUCCUGGUUUCAGCGGCGGACGGGUGAGUAAUGCCUAGGAAUCUGCCUGGUAGUUGGGGAUAACGUCCGGAAACGGGCGCUAAUACCGCAUACGUCCUGAGGGAGAAAGUGGGGGAUCUUCGGACCUCACGCUAUCAGAUGAGCCUAGGUCGGAUUAGCUAGUUGGUGGGGUAAAGGCCUACCAAGGCGACGAUCCGUAACUGGUCUGAGAGGAUGAUCAGUCACACUGGAGCUGAGACACGGUCCAGACUCCUACGGGAGGCAGCAGUGGGGAAUAUUGGACAAUGGGCGAAAGCCUGAUCCAGCCAUACCGCGUGUGUGAAGAAGGUCUUCGGAUUGUAAAGCACUUUAGGUUGGAAAGAAAAGCAGUAGGUUAAUACCUUGCUGUUUUGACGGUACCAACAGAAUAAGCACCGGCUAACUUCGUG